rnacentral:tRNA from 1 species
GCCCUCAUGGUGUAGUGGUCAGCACGCUCGGCGCAUAUUCGACAGGUCCGUGGUUCAAGUCCCAGCGAGGGCA